GACGAACGCUGGCGGCGUGCUUAACACAUGCAAGUCGAACGGAAAGGCCCUGCUUGCAGGGUCCUCGAGUGGCGAACGGGUGAGUAACACGUGGGUGAUCUGCCCUGCACUUCGGGAUAAGCCUGGGAAACUGGGUCUAAUACCGGAUAGGAGCCAUUUUUAGUGUGAUGGUUGGAAAGUUUUUUCGGUGUAGGAUGAGCUCGCGGCCUAUCAGCUUGUUGGUGGGGUAAUGGCCUACCAAGGCGGCGACGGGUAGCCGGCCUGAGAGGGUGGACGGCCACAUUGGGACUGAGAUACGGCCCAGACUCCUACGGGAGGCAGCAGGGGGGAAUAUUGCACAAUGGGCGCAAGCCUGAUGCAGCGACGCCGCGUGGGGGAUGACGGCCUUCGGGUUGGAAACUCCUUUCGCUAGGGACGAAGCUUUUUGUGACGGUACCUAGAUAAGAAGCACCGGCUAACUACGUG
rnacentral:rRNA from 1 species